UCAUCAUCACCAUCACCCAAUGUAGUCUUUCGGGAGAUGAACGCAUACCCGGGGGACAGGAAACUCCCGGAGGCUAAAUCAAAGAUUUUUAGAAUUAACCCUCGGGAGACUCACAUCUUCCGAGGGUUUUUCAAU
rfam:Vibrio sp. N418 VIBRN418_13, whole genome shotgun sequence.